rnacentral:lncRNA from 1 species
AAAGCCCCAAUCAGCCCUAUUUUUUCGAGCAGCCUAGUGGACACAAGUAGAAGCUCCUCAUCUUUUUAACAAUGAAAAAAACCCUAGCCUCUACAUCAUCUUCCUCAAUACACAAGAACACAAACCUUGAGAAACCACCCAUGCAUGCCUUCAUCUCCAUGAACCCAAGCUUCUUAUUCUUCCUUGAAAACCAAGACAACAAGAAGGAUACAACAAAGAACCAUAGGAAGACAGGAGAACGUCAUAGCAACCAUCUCCUUCUUCAUCAACCAAAUUAGCACCGGAAUAUAACACAAGAAGACCCCAUCGUUGAUCUUCUUCUCAGGGAAAUUCCAUCAGUGACUGAACCAAACGGCUCCACCUCAAACGACCAGCUCCCCCGUUCUCGCCACCAGCGAGCUCCUUCAACUCCACACCAUCAAUUCUCUAGAACUCAUGCCGAAAAACCACCAAGAACUAAUCAGUUGCACGACCACCAGCAGCGGACCAAACGAGCUCACAGAUGCGAAACCAUCCAAAACUAACACCCUCACUCACCUCUUCUUCUUCACCAAAAAGGUUGGAUCAGUUGAACCUCUUGAACACCCCCAGGAUCCGCUGAACAUCUUCUUUAUUUGUCACGUUAAAACCAAAACUCCUCCACCCACGCAUAGAUGUAGCAGAGCGAGCAGAUAACGAGGGAGUCCGGUCAAUUUCGACUGGGUUUUUCCGGUGAGGUUUUUAAGUUUGGAUCUUGCGCGCAGUUCUGGUGCUUAACAUCGCUUAACUGUCCAACAAUCGGAUUUUAUAUCUAUUCGAGGUUUAUUUAUCCUUUUAUUUUA